AAACAAGGGGGGAAAAAUUAUCAUGGAGGCAGAGGUUAAUGCAAGUGUUUAGCAGAUGCCUUACUGUAAAAUCUUCGUUAUAUAAAAAAAAAAGCAACAAACUCAUUAAAACUUAAAUAUCGGAUAAUCUCAACCCAGCUUGCCGGCUGCGGGCACGCACCUCGACCAGUGUUCACCCGGUUCAGUUAUGCUCCUGAAAUCAGUUUCAUGCUUGUUUAACUAGGCUGAUUGGUACAUCCAAAGACGCCUGCAGAGAAAAAACCGCCCCGUAUCUCCACCGGCCGCCGAGAUGGGGACACCCGCCCCUGUCCCCCCCCCUCCCUUUCCCCCCCCGGCCAGAGACAGAGCUCCCCGGGACUCGCACGGGAGCGGCACUGGCGCAAGGGUUCCUGUCUGACCGCUGCAGGGGCAUGUUCUGGUUAUUUAUGGUGCCACUGGCAGUGCCCUCCCAUGGUUUACAGAUACGCAAAACCUGAAGCCAGAAUUAAUGCCCUACCAUCCAUCUGAACACCACACAGACAUGCAGGCAGCAUGGCUUCCUAAGUUAUCAGUCACUUGGAACUCCAGCAGUGAUGGAAGCAGAAAGCAGAGGUAGUGGAUGCAUUUAUUCUUUCAAAAGUAAGUCAUUUAAGUUAAAAAUGUUCUUAUAUGUUGCUAAAUGGAAAUCUUAUUACUGUUUUCAUUUUUAAAAAAUGGAUUAGAGUUGAUUUCAGAACCCUUUUUAUUUAUUUAUUUAUUUAUUUAUUUAUUUAUUUAUUUAUUUAUUUAUUAAGAAAGCUGUAGAAGGAUCUGCAGAUCAGAUAUGCCAAUCCUAGCCAUGCAGUGAACAACACCUACAAAAUAUAUCCAUGGAAAAAAGAAAGACCACAAAAACUGACAGACACAGUCCUCACCAGCAAAAGUCUUCCUGCUUAAGGCAAUAGGAUUGCUUAGGAAAGUGGUUCCCAUUUACAUGAAUUUAAGGUUUGCAAGUGUGUACUGUUAAAAGAAAUAAUUUAUAUGUACUUGAGCUGGCUCUAAUACAAUGAGCAGUCUUGCUUAGAAAGGCAGAACACAAAGAUUAUUUUUACUCAGUUUUUCACUGAGAAGCUAGCCUGGACUCAGGUCUGUGCUACUGCGCUGAAGCAAGCACUGUUUUAUAGUCACUUCAGGGAGCUCUAUGCUAGACUGCAGUCUUCAGUAUAGACAGAGCAGUGGGAAAAUUGAGCCCUGGAUAUACAUACAUCUUUACUUAGCUGGAAGCCAGGGGCUAUGCCCUGCAUAUUCUGGAGCCCAUGAAGGGCUUCCCCCAAUUCCAUUGGUGCACAGUUCCUAAAGAUAUGUCCUAACUUGUAAAAACAGAACAUGCCCAUUUCGUAUGAUAUGUGCACGCGCACAUCUGGGCUGCAUGUGUGGAAAAGUAAAGGCGCACACAGCAAACAAUUUUACAUGUGCAAUUUUCAAAGUAGGGGUCUAUGGAUCUAUAAUGCAGCAUAUCUACAGUGCAUAAAAUGACAUUCUUCUGCACAGGAGGGCAUUUUUAAGUGACUUUCAAAGAAAAAAAAAUGCAGCAUUAUUCUUGGUAGCUGAGUUAGCAGCAGCUUAUUUCUCCUGGUGGCUCCUGAAUCUUUCUACACACCCACCACAACGGAGUGUUAGUCCUAAACAGCAACAUGCACACAGCAAUCAGAAUAUUUCAGAUAUUCAUUUCUACAGGCUGAUGUUAUUAAAAUCAAAAACAUCUGCUUUGAGGAAUGCAUAUUUUCUGGAUGUAAAUGCUUCUCUACUCCCACAGUAAAUUCAGCUACUCAUGAAACAAAACGUGAUUCUAAACAGUCAUUGCAUUGUUUUACACAGUAGCAAAUGGAACAAUGCUGCCCUUAAUGUUUUUGUUGUUCAAACAACAACUGGAAUUGGAUAAAGGAUUUCAGCUGGGAACACUUUCCUAAUACCUUUGUAGGUAAUGGUAUUCCUUAUGUAUGCUGCUCUGUGACCAUUAGGCCACGUGUACUGGGCAGAGGUUCACCCACAUAUCACCAAGACAGCUCCCAAAGAGAUGAGCUUGUGCCUGGGAUAGGCUUUUAAAUCUUUGUCUGUUAUCAGCUCAGCAACGCAGCUUUGCAACCAGGGAGAGUGGUGAACAGAGCCCCAGCUGCCUGUGUUUCAAAUGCUAUCAUCUAAUCCUGAUUAGAGGCACCGUGGUCUAGAAACUCUUCUGAAAAGCCAGAGGAGAAAACCUCCUCCCUUUUGUGUUCCCCUUAAAAAUCGUUUCGGAAAAAAAACUUGCUAACUUGGGUUAGUUUCUCUUGUGUAAGCUAAACUACAUGUCUCUGUUUAAGUACAAGUAAUUACAUUUAUUGACUACCACAUAACACGUUAAUUGCUGUGCUAAUGACAUAACUAUGCUUCUACCCUCUAGACUAAUGAUAAACGCAGUCUGUAUUAAAUGUGGAGUUGCACUGAACACUGUGGUACAUCUGCAAGACAUUUUGUUGCUCUUGCCUGUUGGUCUAUCUCUAAAAAUAUAUAACAAUGUAUAAAUGUGGCAAAUGUUGCAUCCACCCUCCUGAUAAAGGAAUAAUAAUAAUAAAAAACAGGAAAAUAAUCCCUGGGAGGACACUGACCUAAUCUAUGUUGAGGUGGUGCAUGACUAAGAAAGCAUAAUGUGCCAUAGGAGUGUGUAAGUGUGUACAGUGCUACCUAGCAGUUAAUAAUGGAAGUUAAAUUUAUUUUCUCACUCUGACUCCUCAUAAAUCUGCCACAGGUUAAAUUUGGGGGUUUCAGAAAUGGUGUAUAAAUGGUAAAUUAGAUGAAAGAUGGCAUUAGUAUAAGUGAAAAACCUUGAUGCUUAUCCAGCUUCUGUAAAAGAGUAGGUACAAUAUGCUCAAAUACUUUUCUCUAUGGGGAAGGAUUGCUUCCUUCUUUAGACUAUGGGUAAGAGUCUGGAGACAGGUUAUCUUCCAGUAGGCUGGAACACCCCAGGCUUGACUGGCACAGGCCUUUUCAAUGAUUGCUUUCUGACAUUUCUGACAUUUUUUUCUACAAUAACCUUUACCCUUUAUGUGCCAUGACAAAAUGGGAAUCACCAGAGGUAGCCUAACAGCAAAUGGUAAAGAAAGACCCUCAUACACUUUUCUGUUUUCUCAUAAAAUCAGUAACAUUUCCAAUUAAAUAAUGACUGUAGUUAUAUGUUGCAUAUCUUCAAGAUCACAGGAACCAUAAUUACUUAUUUUUGGAAGUGCUCAAAUGAGUAAUAUAAUAUGAAACUGCACAGUAGUUUUUUUUUUUCUUUUUUUUUCUUUUUCUUCCCUUAACCUAAAAAACUAUGAAAUCCAGCAAUUAUGAUCUAAUGAUUGAAAUAUUAGUCCAGAAUUAUGUCACUGUUUUGAAAGAAUAAUUUUAAAUAAGAUUCUUUCUUUCCUGACUCUUUUAGAAUUUCUAGUGUUUCUAUACCAGACAUUGGAAAAUAAGCUAACUGUCCUUUCCUCCCUCACUGUCUUCCAUUAAAAACAUUGGGGAAUUUUCAGUGCACCCCAGUCUUUAGCCUGGACUCCAACCAUUUUAAAUACUGAUUGCUACUACACAUUCCCAUGGUUGCUGUCAAGAGAGAAUCUGCUAUCUGUAGGGUGGAUGCUAUGAGGUUAUAAAUAAGAUCAAAACAGAACUUUAAAUUCUGACAUUGUUUAUGUCUAAUAUUUUUAUUAUAGGAGUUAAACAUGUUUUAUAAGUUGAUUAACACACACGUGUAUGCUUAUAUGAGAAUUUGGAAAAAAAAUAGAACCCCAUAGGAUUUAAUAAUUUCCUUUCAGUAUUUACAUAACCACCUUAGUCAGUGUUCUAGUUCAAAAGAGACAUUAGGAAAUUAGUAAUGUUUGAGAAUUAUCUAGUUUUUGAAAAAGGUCUGAUACUGCUCUCUUUGGCAUCCACAAUGAUGGUCUCUGCGGAGGCAGGUGUCUCUGCAUCUCAGCUGGCCACAUGAAGUUUCACUAUUUAACAUUUGCACAGUGUUGUAGACAUUGGUCACUGUGGGAAUGUCAAGUAUGGGAAAGUACAGCCUUCAAAAUUAGGGAUUAAAAUAAUGAGAAAAAAGAAAUUAAAAUCACAGAAUCACAGAAUUUCUAGGUUGGAAGGGACCUCAAGAUCAUCGAGUCCAACCUCUGACCUAACGCUAACAGUCCCCACUAAACCAUAUCCCUAAGCUCUACAUCUAAACGUCUUUUAAAGACCUCCAGGGAUAAUCCAUACAUUAUGUCUGACAUGAAGGAAAUGUUUGAAGAUGGGAAAGAGCUGAUUAUCAGACAAGUCUGUAUUUCCUAUGGUUAUAGCCAUGAAACACUUGCUGCUUUUCUAAUAUGGAGUAAAGCGUGUUGCCAGUGAACCCUAGGUUAGACAUUUACUCUGGGUGCAGGCAAGCCAAACCUUGUUUCUUUGACAUAUGAAGAACAGAACAAUAGUUGCCAGGCAGUUGAAAUCUAGGGGUAUAUCUGAAGCAACUCAUGAACACAAAGAUUCAUUGCUGUCCAGGGGAUGCUUCCUUGGAGGAGAGAUGCAGUUAAAAAAAAAACAAAAAACAAAACAAAACAAAACAAAACAAAAUAUAUCGACAAACUAGGAAUUUUUUUUAUUUUUAUUUUUUCCAGUGACUUAAAAAUACUGCAAUUAAAACUAUUAUUAAACUAGAUUAAAUGAAGAGGAAAUUUGCUUUCAAGUUUUAAAGCCAAGAAUGUUCUUUGUGCCUCUAUCCAUUUCUGUGCUCCACGUACCCUGUGCUGUUUACAUAAGGAUUAUCUUGUUUAUUUUACAGUUAUUAUGCUUCAUAGAAACUAAUCAAGAGAAUAUUUCUUUUUUUUUAUGACAAAAAGUGGAUGUUGAAUUGCUCAAGUUGCUUUUAUACAACAUUCUUGGGUUUGCGAUAGUGUGAUAUUUAAUAAAGUGUUUAUAAAGGCAGAUAUAAUAGUUUAUCAGAUCUCAGGCAGUCAUAAUAACAAAACUGCCCUUAGCCUGAGUGCUAUGUACUGUACUUUGUAAUUUACAACACAGCACUUUCUAAAUUACUUCAUAAACUAAGAAAGUUGCCUACCAAAGAAUCAAUCUUAUAGGAACUAAGAAAUCUUUUCCUAAAUAUUUUUUUCUGUUACUUAGUCUCCAUACAAAUCAUUAUUAAUAGCUUGGACUCAGGCAGAAACUGCACUCCCUUGUAACACGCAACACGUGCAUGCUGCAAGAUAUUUUCAUAGUGUCUUAUCUAUUUAAAUUUCCAGUAGAAGGGACUUUUCAGCUUGAAAUUCUACAUGUCUAGAAUGCUCUCCUGCACAAUCAACAGGAUAAAGUGAAGAGAAAAGAACGAAAGAAAGGCUGAAGACCUUACAGUGAGAAUCUAGUGGAGCAAUUCAAGUGGGAGUUAAUAGUUUAAGAGACCAUGAAUAGAGAAUGAAGCUUUUCAUUUCUGUGUUGCUAGUCCAAGUCCCUACCAACUUAUCUGAAGUCUGUUUGGUGGACUUAAUGCAGCAGCAUGUUAAACAAAGCCUCUACCACUGAGUUCAGCCUUCAUCUCUGCUUAAGGACUUGCCCUGAGAAAUUCUGUCAGCGAACAAAAGGAGACCCAGGUAUGCAGCCCAAGCUAACACUAGCCUCUACCCAUCCAUUCACAGAUCUUAUGAUCCUCUUAUUCCCCAUGCAGAAUCUGUCUGCUAUUGCAUGAAAAGAAAAGAAAAGAUAGCCAUUUAGAAGUGGAAAACUUAUUUGUUACUCAAGACCAAUUUUUGAUCUGCAAAUAAUCAACUACUUCCUUGAUAUAUCGUCUAGCAUUUACUUAGUCAUCAUACUAGGAGCAACUUCUGCAGUUAUUCAUGGCAUAUAUCUGUAGAUACAAAACAUAUCCUUAUGGUCACUGUGAAAUUAUCAUCCAAUUAAACUUUAAAAUUCUAUAUAGCAGAGGAAGAAAAGUACCAACACAGGUGCUUACAUUGCUCAUCUUCAUGUUUUUAGGUGGCAUAAAAAAAAAACAAAAUUCACAAUUCUCUGUAAGCAAGUAUAUCUUCUGUAUGGGAAAGACUUCUUGUGUUUCUAAAAAGCAGUCUAAGUGCAAAAAAUUCUAGUCAUUCUUUGUGGAAAGGACUGUGGAUUUGUGUUCUUGAUCAGGCCUUGAUCUGAAAGAAGCAAAGAGAUUGCUGAAGUGGCCUCUUAGAGAAAAAGAUCAACUGAUGGUAGUGCAAGGAGCAAGGGUUUACUUUCAGAAUGUCCAAGAAUUUCUUGUAAGAUUGCAAGAAGUCUAGGAAAGAUGAGUAACUUGUGUCCUUGCUGCUAGUUUGAAAGGAGAUGUAGGGAAGUCGAAAGUGAUUCCCUGAUAUCAGAAAAAAAAAAAAAAAAAAAAAAAAAAAAAAAAGGCAGCAUAGAAGGAACUAGUUUUGUGGUUUAAAGUGGUAGAUAAAGAUAAGUAGGUAGAUAAACAAUUUUCACAGUAAUACAUGCUUUUAAAUGGUUUUGUUGGAGACCGUCAGAUACAUCUGAUCUAUUUCUUUCUAUUUCUUUUUUGUUAUUUUUUUAUUUUUUCCUAACAUAUUAAAAACAGGAAUCUAUCUGGAUGUUGUCAGCUAUCUGAGUUCUUGCAGCAUUUCCAUUGAUUCAUGCCCUAUUUUCAGCAGUAGGUAAGUUGAGAAACAACACUUUACAUGACUUUGAAGGAUUGGCUUCAAAAUUCUAAGCAGAUGAGCAGGUAUUUUUCCUAUCCUCAGUGGAAAUAUAUGCAUCUGAAGAACUGUAGUCUUGGAAUGUGCUCAUAGAUCAUGUCUUCUAAGCAGACUUGUUCUUCAAGAACAAUAUUGUUAUUACCCUGUUCCAUACCUAGUGUUGAUAAUGUAAUAGAAUGAUUAUUCCAGAAUGAAGACAUUUCUAAUGGAGAAUACCUGUGAUAACCAAAAGCCUUCUGCUGUAGAUAGAGAAUGUAUGGAACCCCAAUGAAUUUAAAGAACCCAAACUGCUUUUGCCUUAGCUCUCUUAAGCAAUGUGAGUUCUUGUCUACCAGCUGGUGAGAAGACGUAGGCAACAGAUAAAUUUUUCCUGAUGGGGUAGGUUAUGAAGAAAACUGCAGAGGAUUGGGUAGCAACUUUGAAGUUUUGUAUGGAGAUUUAUCAUGGUAUGCCAUUUCCUUUAACAACUGAAGGGAUGGAGAAGUAGAGCAAGUUGUGAGUGAGAGCAUCACACAAAUAGAUACUAUAACAGCAGAGAAGAAGGUUACAUUUGGAACUGACCAGGGUGUAAUGAUUUAGAAAGUAAAGGAAUAUGAAAAAUAUAUAAAAUAUAUAGAAGAGAGAUUUUAAGAAUGUUGAGGAAAAACAAACUUAUAUUGAAAUAGCAACCUAAAAAUAGCAGGAAAAAGGGAUGCACUCUAUAGUGGGGGUAACAUUACAGACUUCGAAUAGAGAGUCCGAGAAAGAAGCUAAAUCAAAAACUGGAUUUGGAAGUAAGAAUAGAGAGGGAAAAGGUCAGAGAAAGAAAAACAGACUAAAGAAAGGAGAUGUAAAAAAUAUUAUAGGGAAAGGUGAAGAGGAUGAAAAGAUCUGAAGCAUGAGAGGAGGACAUACUGCAAAAACUGGAAGAAGUAUGGGAAAGUGAUUGAAUAGCUGAAAGACUCCUGACACGAAAUAUCACCCAGGCUAUGAAAGAAACCGGCUCCUUCGUUAUCUGAGGUGGGGUUUGGAACAUGCAGAUGGAGGUAGAAGGUCACUUAUCCCAGUGUGAGAAUAGAGGUGCAGUUGCCAAUGUUCAAGAGAAGACCAUGAGCUUCAGAGGCACCUUCAUAAACUGCUGAUUUAAGACUACUAAACAGCUGGAUUUACUGAACACAUUCUCUCUCUCUCUCUCUUUUUUUUUUUUUUUUUUUUUUUUUUUUCAGCCCAGAAACAUUGUUUAGGCAGCUGUUGAAUAAUUUAUACAUUUGUUAAGAUUUCAAGCUGUUUGCUUUCUGUGGCAGGUCAGAUGCUCUGCCCUGGCUGCUCUAUGAGCAGGUUGUACACAGCCUGGUGGUAACCACAAGACUGCAUGAGCUCUCAUAGUCAGCCCAACACUUUUGGAGAGCAUCAUAUUUAUUAUGCACAUGUGACAAAGUCACUGCAUGCCUGCACAGUAAGACUGACACUUCUGGGGAUUGUCUAAUGGACCUACUGCCCAUGUGCUGCCCAGUCAUUGGGAACAUACACAGUAAAGGCUCUGUAAGUCAGAUUUACUGUGAAUAUGCAGAGCAAUGAAAUGUUGCAUGUGCAGCAGGACGUGUUGCUUCCUGAAGUGUGGGGUGGAGUGCACAUACGCUGCACAGAUUUCCCAGGCUGAAAUAUAGGAACUCUAUACUGGCCAAGUCACUUAAGUCUUGAGGAGAGGUAAUAUUUUAAGAUGUGUUCAGCAUGAGGUCCACAAGAAAUCUUCUCUUUGACAUAGGGAUUCUGUUGAUCUCAUUGCAGGAUGUCUCAUAUGCACUGAGAAAAAGAUGCUCAGUGUGUAACUUGUGCUGCUGGGUCCCACUCUCAUGUAGGCAGCGCAGCUCUAGGUGAUACAGAGACCAUGGUUUUUAUGCCUUCAUUUCCUACCUGAAUGGGAAUAUCUGAGACCAAAAUUGCAAGGAUGUUUAAUAAAGACACUAUUAACAUUGAUAGAGAAUAUGAGUUAUUCAGACUUUGUAUUGAGCAAGCACUGGAUAAAUAAUUUUUAUUCCAAGCACAGCAACAGCUCCUGAAAAGCUGAGAACACCUUUAUGGUAACCCUCAGUUGCUUGUAAGACAGGGCAUUUGGUUACAAUUAAAGGUGAAGUCUCAAACUGUGUAUCCAAACCUCCCUGAACCUUAGACUAAAGGGAUCCUGAUCUGAGCCAACUCAGGGUAAUGGUCUUGCAAAAACAAAAUAAAAUUCAUUUUCAAAACCAAAAUAAUCCUUUUUUUUUUUUGUCAUAUUCAUUUUUGGGGUAAAUUACUAUUUUUAUUUUAUUAUUAUUGUCACCACAUAAGGAAAAUGCGAACAGACUAGAAGCUAGGUUGAUUUUGUGAGGUUGAGUUGAGGUCACUGAAAAAUUGAUAGCAACUUUUGAGAUGAAAAAAAAUCAUCAAAGCUAAAGGAAGCUUCUCAAAGUGGGAUUUAAUAGCAGCUAUCAUAUUGCCUUCAAUGGCUUGACCAUUUCUUGUGCAGCUGUUUUAUUUUAAAAGAUUUCACUCCCUUUCCACAUGUAUAGGCCUAUACAUUGACCUAAGUACACACAUCCAAGUACUUUGGUCACUCAUGAUAACUAUAAACCCUUCAGCGAACUACCAGAAAGGUAGUUCAAAUGGAAAUGGUGAAAUUCAAUAUAGCGUUUAACUAAGUCACUGUCUAAGGUUAAGCCCAAGGAACAAUCAGCAACAUUGGAAGGACAGGCAAAUACAUUAAUUGGUACGUGGGCACCAGAUAUAUGUGGUUUUCCUGAAAACUGUCAAAUAACCACAGUGGUAUUUCAGUGUGAGUGAAGAAACAGUGUCUAUUCAAACAUAUACUUCAUUUUUAUAUGAGUGUGUAUGUAUGUAAAGAGCCUAGAUACAGAGUUAGGGCAAAAGCAAAACUGAAAGGCAGGAGGAUAAUUUUGGCUGGUAGUCCUUUUGCCUUCCUGUAUGUCUAAUCAAGGAUAGAGGCAAGUUCUCAGUAUAUCUUUAGAGUGUUGGGCACUCAAGCCCCAUUGACUCUCAGGGUAGAGUAGAUUUCUGAUUCACUAUGGGCUUUUUGAAAAUUUUGCUCUUUUUUAUACAAGCCUUAACUGAAAGACUAGUCUGCUUCUCAGACCAACCUAUUACCUUUUAUCAAAGUAAGGAUAGGUUAGGUAAGACACAGUGAUAUAAUUGUGAUGGUGAGAAAAUGAUGAAUAAACUAUCAUUUGGAAAGUGUGUAUUUGUGUAUGAAUAUACAAGUAGACAAUAAUAGGUCCAUAUAUAUGUUUAUCAUGGGAUAUGUCCGCUGUCAUCUGCUUUAUCUGAUUUUAUUUUAUUUUAUUUUUAGUGAGCUUCCUCAAAAGAUGUUAAAGCAACAUUCUUUAACUUCCAUGAAGGUUGAACAAAAUUCAAAAUCCAUGUAGUGUUAACUAAAAAUAUAUAUAUUUACUCAUUUUUUCAUCUAUUGAUAUGAAAAACAUACCAAUAAUUUUGAUGCAGUCUUGUAUGCAGGCAUGUAAAUAGUAUAACACAAUGCUAAUCAAAAAGCUGAAGAUGAACUGAGAUAACCACUUCAUUACAAAUUGAUAGAUCUAAAGAAUUUUGUCUUUGAGAUUUUUUUCAUUACGAGGUACCUGCUUUUAUCACCAAAUAUUUAUCUAUAGCAAAAAUAAAAAGUGAAUUGCUAA